GGUUCGAUAAUGAUCC
rnacentral:rRNA from 1 species